AACGGAGGGGGCUAGUGUUACUCAACUUGACUGGGCGUAAAGGGCGUGAAGGUGGUAUAGUACGUUUUUCUGUAAAUACUCAAACAUAAUUUGAGGACCUUUAAAAUACGGCUAUGCUUGAGUUUAUUUGAAGAAAGUUGUACUUCUAGUGUAGAGGUGAAAUUUGCAAAAUUAGAAGGACAGUCUACGGGCGAAAGCGACUUUCUAAUAUAAACUGACACUAUAGCGCAAAAAGCAUAGGUAGCAAACGGG
rnacentral:rRNA from 1 species